ACUCCUACGGGAGGCAGCAGUAGGGAAUCUUCCACAAUGGGCGCAAGCCUGAUGGAGCAACACCGCGUGAGUGAAGAAGGGUUUCGGCUCGUAAAGCUCUGUUGUUAAAGAAGAACACGUAUGAGAGUAACUGUUCAUACGUUGACGGUAUUUAACCAGAAAGUCACGGCUAACUACGUGCCAGCAGCCGCGGUAAUACGUAGGUGGCAAGCGUUAUCCGGAUUUAUUGGGCGUAAAGAGAGUGCAGGCGGUUUUCUAAAUCUGAUGUGAAAGCCUUCGGCUUAACCGGAGAAGUGCAUCGGAAACUGGAUAACUUGAGUGCAGAAGAGGUAGUGGAACUCCAUGUGUAGCGGUGGAAUGCGUAGAUAUAGUGGAAGAACACCGAGUGGCGAAGGCGGCUACCUGGUCUGCAACUGACGCUGAGACUCGAAAGCAUGGGUAGCGAACAGGAUUAGAUACCCCGUGGUAGGAUAGCG
rnacentral:rRNA from 1 species